GUGCCAGCAGCGNCGGUAAUACGGAGGGUCCAAGCGUUAAUCGGAAUUACUGGGCGUAAAGCGUGCGCAGGCGGUUUGUUAAGCGAGAUGUGAAAGCCCCGGGCUCAACCUGGGAAUUGCAUUUCGAACUGGCAAACUAGAGUCUUGUAGAGGGGGGUAGAAUUCCAGGUGUAGCGGUGAAAUGCGUAGAGAUCUGGAGGAAUACCGGUGGCGAAGGCGGCCCCCUGGACAAAGACUGACGCUCAGGCACGAAAGCGUGGGGAGCAAACAGGAUUAGAUACCCUGGUAGUCCACGCCGUAAACGAUGUCUACUCGGAGUUUGGUGUCUUGAACACUGGGCUCUCAAGCUAACGCAUUAAGUAGACCGCCUGGGGAGUACGGCCGCAAGGUUAAAACUCAAAUGAAUUGACGG
rnacentral:rRNA from 1 species